rnacentral:rRNA from 1 species
UACGGGGGGGGCAAGCGUUGUUCGGAAUUACUGGGCGUAAAGGGCUCGUAGGCGGCCAACUAAGUCGGACGUGAAAUCCCCAGGCUCAACCUGGGAACUGCGUCUGAUACUGGAUGGCUUGAAUCCGGGAGAGGGAUGCAGAAUUCCAGGUGUAGCGGUGAAAUGCGUAGAUAUCUGGAGGAAUACCGGUGGCGAAGGCGGCAUCCUGGACCGAGAUUGACGCUGAUGCGCGAAAGCCAGGGGAGCAAACGGG